GCAAGUCGAGCGGAAACGAAGAGGUGCUCGCACCUCUGGCGUCGAGCGGCGGACGGGUGAGUAAUGCUUGGGAAUAUGCCUUAUGGUGGGGGACAACAGUUGGAAACGACUGCUAAUACCGCAUGAUGUCAACGGACCAAAGUGGGGGACCUUCGGGCCUCACGCCAUAAGAUUAGCCCAAGUGGGAUUAGCUAGUUGGUGAGGUAAUGGCUCACCAAGGCGACGAUCCCUAGCUGGUUUGAGAGGAUGAUCAGCCACACUGGGACUGAGACACGGCCCAGACUCCUACGGGAGGCAGCAGUGGGGAAUAUUGCACAAUGGGCGCAAGCCUGAUGCAGCCAUGCCGCGUGUGUGAAGAAGGCCUUCGGGUUGUAAAGCACUUUCAGUAAGGAGGAAAGGUUAAGUGUUAAUAGCACUUAGCUGUGACGUUACUUACAGAAGAAGCACCGGCUAACUCCGUGCUAGCAGCCGCGGUAAUACGGAGGGUGCGAGCGUUAAUCGGAAUUACUGGGCGUAAAGCGUACGCAGGCGGCUUGUUAAGCGAGAUGUGAAAGCCCCGGG
rnacentral:rRNA from 1 species